CAGUAGCCACGGGAAUACGGAGGGUGCAAGCGUUAAUCGGAAUUACUGGGCGUAAAGCGUGCGCAGGCGGUUCGUUAAGUCUGUUGUGAAAGCCCCGGGCUCAACCUGGGAAUGGCAAUGGAUACUGGCGAGCUAGAGUGUGUCAGAGGAUGGUGGAAUUCCCGGUGUAGCGGUGAAAUGCGUAGAGAUCGGGAGGAACAUUAGUGGCGAAGGCGGCCAUCUGGGACAACACUGACGCUGAGGCACGAAAGCGUGGGGAGCAAACAGGAUUAGAUACCCGAGUAGUCCCUGUCUCUUAUAA
rnacentral:rRNA from 1 species